GAAGUGAUUCUGUCUAAGCUUUAAAGUACUCAUCAUCGUUACAGUGAAAAACUAUUUCAACGUGUGGACUAAUCUUAACAGCUGUAGAAGCACUAUCUGGAUGAAAGUCCUUUUAUAACAGCAUGAAUGCCAGUUCUUUCAGGAUCCAGACUUGCUUGUAAGAUAUCAAUCAUCUCUGUCAAGCAACUCAAGGAAGGCUUUCUUUGGAUGAGUGGUAGUACGCCAUUAUUUUCCUCACUUUCCAUGGAGUUACUUUCUGGUACAAAAAAGCUGAGACAGAAAUAGAGGAAUACAACUGGAUGCUCAUGCCAUACCUGAGGGCUUGACCUGCCUCAUUGUUGCAGUGCCGAAGGCUUGGUUGAUCAGCAUCCGUGAUGAGGGCUAUGAGAGCGCACAGAUAGCUGGAUCAAAGGGUAAUCUCUCUCUUUUAUAUAACUGCUGAGCC
rnacentral:lncRNA from 1 species